rnacentral:misc_RNA from 1 species
GAUGAAGAACGCAGCGAAAUGCGAUAAGUAAUGUGAAUUGCAGAAUUCAGUGAAUCAUCGAAUCUUUGAACGCACAUUGCGCCCGCCAGUAUUCUGGCGGGCAUGCCUGUUCGAGCGUCAUUACAACCCUCAGGCCCCAGGGCCUGGCGUUGGGGAUCGGCGGAAGCCCCCUGCGGGCACAACGCCGUCCCCCAAAUACAGUGGCGGUCCCGCCGCAGCUUCCAUUGCGUAGUAGCUAACACCUCGCAACUGGAGAGCGGCGCGGCCACGCCGUAAAACACCCAACUUCUGAAUGUUGACCUCGAAUCAGGUAGGAAUACCCGCUGAACUUAAGCAUAUCAAUAAGCGGAGGA